CCUACGGGUGGCAGCAGUGGGGAAUAUUGGACAAUGGGCGAAAGCCUGACCCAGCGACGCCGCGUGAAGGAAGAAGGAUUUCGGGUUGUAAAGUUCUUUUGUCAGGGACGAAACAGGUGACAAUACCUGACGAAUCCGCCACUGAUAACUUCGUGCCAGCCGCCGCGGUAAUACGUAGGUGGCAAGCGUUCUCCGGAGUUACUGGGUGUAAAGGGAGUGUAGGCGGCACUGCAAGUCAGAUGUGAAAACCAGGGGCUCAACCUGUGGACUGCAUUUGAAACUGUAGUUCUUGAGUGCUGGAGAGGUAGACGGAAUUCCUAGUGUAGCGGUGAAAUGCGUAGAUAUUAGGAGGAACACCAGUGGCGAAGGCGGUUUGCUGGACAGUAACUGACGUUGAGGCGCGAAGGCGUGGGGAGCAAACAGGAUUAGAUACCCUGGUAGUC
rnacentral:rRNA from 1 species